rnacentral:lncRNA from 1 species
GCGCGGUGCGUACGCGUGGCGUCAUUUCCGUGACGCUUCGGACUUCCGGGGACUGGCUGGCGGCUGGCCGGAAAAGAUUGCAACGCUCCGGAGGCUGUCCACCCGAAGGGGCAGUCCCUGAGGGCAGGGGACACCGAGUGACCGUGAGGCCCUCGCUGACGUGUCUGUGACUCGCGAGAAGCCGCGGUUUCCCCUGUCAUUCCUCAUUCCGUCUACCAGCUUCUGCUUGCAUUAGCCUGAGGGCGACAAGGAGCCCCGAGGACAGCCAUACACGAAACGGGACAUCAAAGUCUGGGACCAGGAGACAUCUCCCAGCGCUUAGCGAAUGCGGCCGCCAGAAGGAAAUACAAACACACCUUUCCCCUAGUGAGCAGUUAGCAGGGAAUAGAUAGUCAGGAAAAAGAUCGAGAGGGAAAAGUUUAGCACAUGACUGCCUGUCUGUAAAGAUAGAUAACGCUCCCACUGGACAGUUGACAUGCCACCUCACUAGCUUUUGUUAUCUCCCUGGGCCAAGAACCGUCGGGGUGGAGGAGAUGAAGUUAUAGGAUAGGGGAGGAGAGAAUUCAGAAUGAACCCUACAAAUGAGCAACCCAGAGUCCGUGAGACUGGCUCUCAGCUCUGGAAAAAACAAAAAACAAAAACAAAACACUGUUCCCAGCAGAAUUUUUUUUUUAACCCCUGUCUCAAUAAAUGCCUGUUUUCACCUUUUCUGACUCUGCUAUUUUGUUUUUCACUCCUGGGCACUCGUCCAUAGAAAGAACCUGGUCACCUGGGCAGAUGGCCCACAGAAAUGAACACUCCUGGCUUGCUCUUUUUAAGAGCAGGACU